AAAGAAAAUAAUUUUACAGGCAAAUGGUGGAUGCCUUGGGAUAUCGAGGCGAUGAAGGACGUGGCGUGUCUGCGAUAUGCUUCGGGGAGGUGACUAGCAACCUUUGAUCCGGAGAUUUCCGAAUGGGGAAACCUAAUUUUGUGACAAACAAAAUUGCUUAGUUCGCAAGAACUGAGAGCGUACCUGGGGAAGCGAAACAUCAUAGUACCCAGAGGAAAAGAGAACAAGAAGUCUCACACUUCACAAAUUUCACUAAUUUAGCGGAGCGAAUUCUGCGACAGAUUCGCGACGCGAGGAGCGAAAGCGUAUAAGCAAAGCGAUACGCGAGCGACGAGCAACAAAGAAUAUGGCCAGAAUUUGCCCGCCCUAAAGGGAAGCAAAAUAAUGGCUGACUUCUGCGAGGCUCUUCCUCAACGCAUCGUUUUCACUUAUGCGUUUCGUCAUCGCGUCUUGAAAUUCAGCGCAUUAUUUUGCUUCUAAAUAUAGCGAAAUUUGUGAAGUGUGAGACAAGUUAUUCCCUUAGUAGUGGCGAGCGAAAAGGGAAGAGCCUAAACCAAUUAUAUUUUCGCAAGAGAAUAUAAAUUGGGGUUGUAAGGGAGUAGCGUCGGGGGCACCCAGCAUUUAUUUUUUAGAAAAUAAGUGCUGGAUAUCUGCCGAGGGAGAAUAUUUAGGUAAAGUGUAACCACGUAGUGAAACUUGUUUCUACUACUGUGGUUUUCGUUAGUCGAAUGACCCUGGAAAGGGCGACAAUAUAGGGUAAUAGUCCCGUAGACGAAAACGACUUUAUGCUCCUUGCUAUUUUUCUUGAGUACUGUCGGGCAUGACAACCUGGCAGGAAGCAGGCCGAACUAUACGGCCAAGGCUAAAUACUCGAUAUCACCGAUAGUGAACUAGUACCGUGAGGGAAAGGUGAAAAGCAGGCGGGUGACGCCGGUGAAAUAGAACCUGAAACCAUUUGCUUACAAAGAGUCAGAGCUGGUCCGCAAGGACUAGUGAUGGCGUGCUUUUUGCAGAACGAGCCAACGAGUUCAAACAUUCAGCUUGUCUAAGCCCUUUUGGGGCGGAGGCACAGCGAAAGCGAGCGUUAACAGCGCGAAUUUCGCUGAAUGUUUGAGACCCGAAGCCAAGCGAGCUUACCAUGAGCAGGAUGAAUCCCGCAGAAAUGCGGGAGGAGGUCCGAACCCGUGAGCCGUGCAAUACUCUGGGAUGACUUGUGGUAAGAAGUGAAAAGCUAAUCGAGCUUGGUAAUAGCUGGUUCUCUCCGAAAUAGCUUUCGGGCUAGCGUCUUUUGUUCGACAUUGGGGGUAGAGCACUAGAUAGAGUUUCUUGGGCUUCGCUCAGAUUCUCUAACUAAACUCCGAAUACCAAUGUUUUAAGAAAGGCAGUAAGUCUAUGGGGUCUAAGCUCCAUAGUCGCGAGGAGAACAAUCCAGACCAUAAUCUAAGGUCCCUAAAUUGAACUAAGUGUAAAAUAAGGAAGUAUUCCGCCCUUGACAGGCAGGAAGUUAGCUUAGAGGUAGCUAUCUUUUAAAGAAUGUGUAACAACUCACUGUCCUAUUCAGGCAGAGUGCGCCGAAGAUUUCCGGGACUAAGUUCAAUACCGAAGAUAUGGCUGAGUACUCAAUUCGUUGAGUACUCGGGGUAGGAGAGCGUCCUUAGGGCUGUGAAGGCUCGACGUGAGUCGGACUGGAGCGCUAAGGAGUGAGAAUGUUGGCAUGAGUAACCACAAUCCCGAUGAGAUAUCGGGACACCGAAAACCCAAGGUUUCCUUGGCAAUGACAAUCAGCCAAGGGUUAGGCGAUCCUAAGGGGAAGCCGAAAGGCGUACCCGAUGGCCAGCCGGUUAAUAUUCCGGCCCGUCCAUUAGAUAAAACCAAAAAGACAAAGAAUAGUAACCUAAGCAUAUUAUUGGAUUUAUGCUUGCGACGUGAGGGGCAACCCAAGCGUUGUGAAAAUUUUCUCCUUCGGGAGGGAAAAUCUAGGCGAGCAUUCUUUCUAGAAAAUUUUUGACUAUACUAUCUAAUGGGCUUCGUACCGCAAACCGACACAGGUGGGUUGGCGUAAGUGUGCUAAGGUGAACGGGUGAUUCUUCGUUAAGGAACUCGGCAAAAAAGUGGCCGUAAGUUCGCAAUAUGGCCUUCCGUCUUCGGACGGACGCAGCUAACGUACCCCUAGCGACUGUUUAUCAAAAACACAGGUCCCUGCUAACUCGUAAGAGGAUGUAUAGGGGCUGAGGCCUGACCAGUGCUGGAAUGUUAAGCUUGAGGGUGUGUGCCGCAAGGUGCAUGCUUAUUAAGUGAAGCACCAGUGAACGUCGGCGAUAACUAUAGAAUGACGAAUUGUAGUUAUAAAACUUCGCUAUGUGCUGGAAAAACCGGGUAUAUUGAACUACUCGCCGUUAAUUUAUAUAAUUGUGAUAUUAUCACAUAAUUACUUCGCUCGGUUGAAGAACGAAAGAAAUCUUUCCUUCUUCUCCCUCGUUCGUAAUUAUAAAUUAAUGACAGUGAAAAAGUUCAAUUGCGGUCAAUCAGCAGGAAAGGCUUUUAAUUUGAAUCUUAUUUCCCAAAAGGUAGGCAGCUAUCUUAGCGGCUUUGCUGAUGGGGAGGGUAGUUUCAAUAUUUCAGUAAUAAAUAGAGAGAAGGAUUAUAGGCAUGGUUGGAAAAUAAGUUUGUGUUUUAAUAUCUCUCAGAAAGACGAUACAAUUCCCAAAUUAUUUCGAAACACUAUAAGGUGUGGAACGAUAAGAUAUAGGAAAGACGGAAUAUGUUAUUUCGAUGUAAGAAAAACAAAUGAUUUGGUAGAAAUUAUUGUACCGUUCUUUCAAAAAUUCCCAUUGCUUUCAGGAAAAAAUAAAGUUUUCAGAAUUUUCUGUAAAGCAUUGGAAAUUGUAAACAACAAAAAACAUCUUACAAAAGAUGGAAUGUGGGAGAUUUUAAAGUUACGCAACUUGAUUGUGGUGGGGAGAAAAAGAAAAUACUCUAAUAAAGAAAUACUCGAUUCUUAUUAAAAGAAUCCUCAGAGACUAUACGCGAAGCCCUGCGAGAAAAAUCUCGAUAGGGAUGAUAUAGUCCGAUCUUUAUGGCGACAUAAAGAAUCUCGUCGAAAAGACGAGUGUAACAAAAAUGAAUCGUCCAAAGGUAGCAUAAUCCCUUGCCAGGUAAGUUCUGGCCCGCAUGAAUGGCUUAACGACUGGGGGACUGUCUCAACGAAGAGCCCGGUGAAAAUGCAAUACCGGUGAAGAUGCCGGUUACUUGCGGCUAGACGGAAAGACCCCGGAAGCUUUACUGCAGUUAGAUAUUGGGUUUUGGUUUUUGAUGCGUAGCGUAGGCGGGAGACUUUGAAACCCGGAUCUCGGUUCGGGUGGAGUCGCCGAUGAAACACCGCCCUUUAAAAACCCUGAUUCUAACCCCCGCUCAGCGGGGAGGACAGUGUUUAAUGGGUAGUUUAAGUGGGGCACUUGCCUCCUAAAAGGUAAUGGAGGCGUUUAUAAGGUCGGCUAGCUCCGGAUGGAAAUCGGAGUGAUAGGGCAAAGCCAUAAGCCGGCUUUACUGCAAGACGGAUGUGUCGCGCAGUUGCGAAAGCAGAACUUAGUGAACCGACAGUGGUUAUUAGAAUCGCUGAAGAUCAUCAACCAAAAGCUACUCCGGGGAUAAACUCUGAAAAAAGAGUUUGUUGUCCAAUCUCGCAGUAAUGCGAGAAAUGUACGGCUUAUAACGGUGAACCAAGAACAGGUCUUCCUUCU
rnacentral:rRNA from 1 species